rnacentral:rRNA from 1 species
AUUGAACGCUGGCGGCAGGCCUAACACAUGCAAGUCGACCGAGUGGCGGACGGGUGAGUAAUGUCUGGGAAACUGCCUGAUGGAGGGGGCUAACUACUGGAAACGGUAGCUAAUACCGCAUACCAUCAGAUGUGCCCAGAUGGGAUUAGCUUGUUGGUGGGGUAACGGCUCCCCAGGGCGACGAUCCCUAGCUGGUCUGAGAGGAUGACCAGCCACACUGGAACUGAUACACGGUCCAGACUCCUGCGGAAGGCAGCAGUGGGAAAUAUUGAACAAUGGGCGAAAGCCUGAUGCAGCCAUGCCGCGUGUAUGAAGAAGGCGUGGAAGUUGUAGAGUACUUUCAGCGGGGAGGCGUUACCCGCAGAAGAAGCACCGGCGAACUCCGUGCAAGCAGCCGCGGUAAUAC